rnacentral:rRNA from 1 species
AUUGAACGCUGGCGGCAGGCCUAACACAUGCAAGUCGAGCGGAUGAAGGGAGCUUGCUCCUGGAUUCAGCGGCGGACGGGUGAGUAAUGCCUAGGAAUCUGCCUGGUAGUGGGGCAUAACGUCCGGAAACGGGCGCUAAUACCGCAUACGUCCUGAGGGAGAAAGUGGGGGAUCUUCGGACCUCACGCUAUCAGAUGAGCCUAGGUCGGAUUAGCUAGUUGGUGGGGUAAAGGCCUACCAAGGCGACGAUCCGUAACUGGUCUGAGAGGAUGAUCAGUCACACUGGAACUGAGACACGGUCCAGACUCCUACGGGAGGCAGCAGUGGGGAAUAUUGGACAAUGGGCGAAAGCCUGAUCCAGCCAUGCCGCGUGUGUGAAGAAGGUCUUCGGAUUGUAAAGCACUUUAAGUUGGGAGGAAGGGCAGUAAGUUAAUACCUUGCUGUUUUGACGUUACCAACAGAAUAAGCACCGGCUAACCUCGUG